GAUGAACGCUGGCGGCGUGCCUAAUACAUGCAAGUCGAGCGAACAGACGAGGAGCUUGCUCCUCUGACGUUAGCGGCGGACGGGUGAGUAACACGUGGAUAACCUACCUAUAAGACUGGGAUAACUUCGGGAAACCGGAGCUAAUACCGGAUAAUAUAUUGAACCGCAUGGUUCAAUAGUGAAAGACGGUUUUGCUGUCACUUAUAGAUGGAUCCGCGCCGCAUUAGCUAGUUGGUAAGGUAACGGCUUACCAAGGCAACGAUGCGUAGCCGACCUGAGAGAGUGAUCGGCCACACUGGAACUGGGACACGGUCCAGACUCCUGAGGGAGGCAGCAGUAGGGAAUCUUCCGCAAUGGGCGAAAGCCUGACGGAGCAACGCCGCGUGAGUGAUGAAGGUCUUCGGAUCGUAAAACUCUGUUAUUAGGGAAGAACAAAUGUGUAAGUAACUAUGCACGUCUUGACGGUACCUAAUCAGAAAGCCACGGCUAACUACGUG
rnacentral:rRNA from 1 species